AACGAACGCUGGCGGCAUGCCUAACACAUGCAAGUCGAACGCUAUUUAUAGAGUGGCGCACGGGUGAGUAACGCGUGGGAACCUGCCUUUCUCUGCGGGAUAACGGUUGGAAACGACCGCUAAUACCGCAUACGCCCUACGGGGGAAAGGUCCGCCGGAGAAAGAGGGGCCCGCGUCUGAUUAGCUUGUUGGUAGGGUAAUGGCCUACCAAGGCUACGAUCAGUAGCUGGUCUGAGAGGAUGAUCAGCCACACUGGGACUGAGACACGGCCCAGACUCCUACGGGAGGCAGCAGUGGGGAAUAUUGGACAAUGGGGGCAACCCUGAUCCAGCAAUGCCGCGUGUGUGAUGAAGGCCUUAGGGUUGUAAAGCACUUUCACUGGUGAAGAUGAUGACGGUAACCAGAGAAGAAGCCCCGGCUAACUUCGUGCCAGCAGCCGCGGUAAUACGAAGGGGGCGAGCGUUGUUCGGAAUUACUGGGCGUAAAGGGCGCGUAGGCGGUCUUUUAAGUUAGGCGUGAAAGCCCCGGGCUCAACCCGGGAACUGCGCUUAA
rnacentral:rRNA from 1 species